CGCGGGGUGGAGCAGCCCGGUAGCUCGUCGCGAAGGUUGUCGGUUCGAAUCCGGCCCCCGCAACCA
rnacentral:tRNA from 1 species